AAAAUCAGUUUCUAGCUGACAAAGUAGCUGUCUUGUGUUGGUCAAAAUUGUCGCAUAUAGUCCGCGCAUCGAUUUUUCGGUCGAGUGACUUUGCGACCCGUACGGCCAGCCGUGCUUCCUGACGAUCUCCUGUCCAUAAAUUCGAUUCACAGGGACGUGUGCGAAGCAUGCGGACUUAAUAGCUACUACGUUACAAAGGACAUUCCCAUGGCUACGGGAACAGUGAAGUGGUUCAACACCACCAAGGGCUUCGGCUUCAUUCAGCCUGAUCAGGGCGGCACGGACGUUUUCGUCCACAUCUCCGCCGUUCAGCGCGCUGGCCUCACCACGCUUGAUGAAGGUCAGAAGGUCUCUUACGAGAUCGUUCAGGACCGCCGUUCGGGCCGUUCGUCUGCCGACAAUCUCGUCGCAGCAUAAUCGUCAAGAAUAUGCAGAAAAGGCGGGUCUUGAGCCCGCCUUUUUUG
rnacentral:misc_RNA from 1 species